rnacentral:misc_RNA from 1 species
UUUCCGUAGGUGAACCUGCGGAAGGAUCAUUAAUGAGUUGUCAUGGGGUUCGAUGCUGGCAGCCAAUUUUUGGAUGCAUGUGCUUGCCCUAACAAUCAUCUUCCAAACACCUGUGCACAUUUUUGAGGGAGUCUUGAGUUGGUUGCCGCUCUUGGGUGAUUUUCUCACAUUCCCUUAAAUCAUUAUACGCUAUUAACAAUGUUGAACGUGCUCUGUGCCGCAAGGCUAUUAAUAUAAUACAACUUUUAACAACGGAUCUCUUGGCUCUCGCAUUCGAUGAAGAACGCAGC